AUGAAUAUUAGUGGUUGGAACAAAAAAAUAUCCGUUGGAAAGAUGGAGAUCCUCCUCAAGUCUGUUGUCCAAGCCAUACCGACCUACACAAUAUCCGUCUUUAAAAGUUCUAAGAAAUGUAAAGGAAUUAUUGAACAAUGGCACAAUUGUUUGUGGGGAGAUGAGGAUAACCAGAGAAGAAUGUAUUUGAUUGCUUGGUGGAAAAUAUGUGUCCCAAAAAAUCAAUGAGAGAUGGGUUUUAGGGAUAUCCAUUGUUUCAAUCUAGCGAUGUUGGCAUAGCAGCCUGUCGUCUGA
rnacentral:rRNA from 1 species